UCUCUCUCUGUCUCUCUCUCUGUCUCUCUCUCUCUGUCUCUCUCUCUGUCUCUCUCUCCCGCCUACAAUCUCACUUUGAGAAUUGGAAAUUUGGGGAGGGUGUGGUGACAUUCUCUCACCAACCACUCCUGGCAGAUAGAGCUGAGCUUGCCCCUCCCCCUUUCCUUCAGACCUCAGACUAGAUUUAGAAGCCUCCUCAACAGAACAGCUGUCAACAGAGGGCUUUGGCCACAGGGUACCUCCUGGGCAGCUCAGAUUUCCUAGUACGCCACACUGCCUGCAGGCUUCUCACCCUCCUCUUUAUUCCUACCCAAAUGAGGCCAAGUCAUAGACAUGAUAAGAUGUGGUGGAUAAUGGAAAGGGUCCAAGCAAGGUGGGGGACUAUAGAGAGGAGCAUCUCAUACGUAUAUGCACAGGCAUCACCUGCCAAUCUGGAAAACGCACGUGCUCUGAUUGGUUAAGUGUGGAAUGGGUUCUGAGAAUCAGCUAAUAUAUUUGUUUCUUUCUAAUCUAACAUAACUAUAUUUUUAUCUGUGCAUAAUCAUAUUUAACAGUACCAUAUCAGAUAAUUCAAGUUUGGCAGAAGGAAGUUGUUCUUUCUUUAAUGUUCUCAUCACAAAGCAUUUAGUAUAGCUGCUAGACAACACAGUAAGCUGAGUCCAGAAUCACUAUUUAAAAAUCUCUGAAGGAGGCUCUUUGGUCCCAGACAUAAAAUAAUCUAGUUGUUGUCAAUGGUUUGGGCUUGCAAUGCCCCCCCCCCCACAGGCUCCUGUGUUUGCACAGCUGCUCCUCAGUGGGUGUCACAAUACUGGGGAAUUGUGGAACUUCAGCUGGCAUUAGGAAUUAGGGACUCGGGGGUGAGCCUUGAAGGUUACAGCUUUUCCCUGCUUCCCAACCCAAUCUCUGUUCCUCAGUCAGUGUCAUGUGAGAAACCAUGAGGACAGCUCCUGCCACCACAGAUAGUCCCACUUCAGCUGCCCCUGCCUUCUCCACCACGGUAGACUGAUCUUCUGAGUCAAAACAAACCACUCCUUCCUUGAGUUAUUUCUGUCAGGCAUUUGGUCACAGUGACAGGAAAACUCAAAGAGCUACCUCCCACCCCACCAUACCUGCUUCUCUUAGAGAUGCUAUCUGGGUACAUGAAGAAAGGUUCUACCCUCUGGGGCCUCGUAGUAGAAUGAAAAGAUGAAAGAUGAUGUCUGUGAGUUUGCCUGGAAUCUUCUGGAACAUCCCCAUUGUCUGCUCUGAAGUGGCUGCCCUGGGAUACAUCAACUGUAGGGCUAGUGACUCAGAGACGACAUCGCUUGCCCUGGGUCUCAUCACAAUCCAAGCAAAACUUGAGCCCAGUCAAAGUAAAAGAGGAUGCACAGAAACACCAACAGUGCCUGUGGGCCAAUUGAAGCAGGCUGCCACCCCACCCCUGAUUCCAAGGGCACAGAAGGCUCAUCCACCCUCUGUAUGGCUAGCACAUCUGAAUGUGAGGUUUCUGAUCAGUUGUCACCAGCCCUGGAGCCUCCUCAGCCACCUACCAAGCAAAAGUCUUCAUCGUGGCCAUUCCUGGACCCCCAGCUGUCUCUUCAUCCCUACGUGAUGCCUCCUGCAUUUGAAAUUGUUUUAAAAGAUACAGUUUGGGAAGUGUCAUUCUGGACAUAAACUCUUUAAAGACAAUGGACAUAUGUGUCUGGCCCAUACCUCUCUCCCCUGUGCCUAGGAUGGUACAAUCCACAGAGCAGGCACAGGGAUGAAAAUACGUUAUGUAUGCUAUAGACAUCCGUGAAGUACUGGUGGAUAUGACAGACAGCUAAAUAAAGGUGACAUCUCCUAUGUCCCUGGGGGACUCAGGCUCAGUCAUUUUGUUCCAUACUCCAAAGAGUAAACUUAGUGUUAACUGCUUCUUCUUUUCUAGUCAUUCACAUUGCCUUUCAGAGCCCGUGGGCGCCCUUCUAGGCCCCAAGUACUUUGAGAAAUGGGCUCCCACCUCGAGAAUGACAGGUUCCAGCUCUGUUCACUGGGGACAGACCCAUCCCCAGAGUCCUGUGGGUUUGUCUGGGCACCGAAACGACAAGAAGGUCUCUGUUCCUGGUGGCUUUUGUCACUUUGUUUUCUUCGUGCUUGGUGGCUCGCUCCUACCUCACAGCCAAUCACCGCACUGCCAAAUGGUGCGAAAGAUUUACCGGAAUUUCGUUUUCAAAUAAACCACAAGCUUGGAUGAGCUAAUGCUGUUCCACAUAAAAAAGCCACAAAACUGGACAAAUUCACGUUGUUUCAAGAAGAGAAACUUGUCGAAGCCAUCGGCUUUGCCUGUCUCAAAUGACUGCCCCGAGACCUACACGCAAGAGGUCCUUCCUGUAGGAGCCCAGUGCACAGAGACCAGGAAGCCUCUUUCUGUCACCAUUGCUUCCCAGCUAAAAGUGUUUCUGUCAAGGUCACAUCCUCACACCAAGCACCCACGGGUGGCAAUAUUCCAUUCCAUUCUGUCAGCACCACAGGUCUCUCUUCUACAAAUGUUGACUGCCCGUGGCACAGGCUCCAACCCAGAAAGUCCUCCAUGGAAGCUCAGCAGAAUCGCCCAGUGCAGGAACACGAGCCGGCCCUGAUCCUCAGCAGCAGAGGCAAGACAGUGUCUCGGACAGGGCUGUCAAGACCAGAGUCCUAGACUUCACUGCUUCACGACGUUGAUAUCACAAACAGAUUGUAAGCCUGCCAAGAACAUGGUUCUCUCAGCCUUAAUAUGGAGACAGCAGGAAACCAAAGGUGUCAUUGUAAGAUGAAGCCCAAGCAAAUGGAUAAGGUCCUAUAGCUCUGUGCCCUGUGCAUAGUGAGUAUUCCUAAGUGUGAACAUUAUGUGGAAUGAUGAUUAUGAUGGUGGUAGUGGUGGUGAUGGUGGUGAUGGUGUUGAUGAUGGUGCUGCUGAUGGUGGUGGUAGUGGUCAUGGUGAUGGUUGUGGUGGUAAAUUCAGGCAUGCAGCUACCCCAACUCCUCCUACAUCACUGCUAAAGCAGUGGUUCUCAGCCUUCUUAAUGUUUCAACCCAUUACGUCAGCUCCUCAUGCUGUGGUGACCACCAACCAUAAAGUUAUUCUGUUGCUACCUCAUAACAGUAAUUUCACUACUGUUAUGAACUGGAAUCUCUGACAUGCAGGAUAUCUGAUCUCUAACCCCCUAAGGGGUCAGGACCCACAGGUUGAGAACUGCUGAUCUAGUGCUAAAGGGCUAAAGGACCAGUCUGAGGAGUGUGCCCUGGACUUCUGUGGUCAGCUGAACAGAAAUCAGUCGCCACAGCAGAAGCUAAAUGAGUUCCCAGUAAGGAAUCUAAGAACAGCCCCAUCUUCUCUCCUUCCUUCCCAGCCAACGCCAGAAUAGGUGGGUUUACAAAGUUCGUGACAGAUUAGAAUCGGUGAACUUAGCUACUUGCUCUUAUAUUACAUCGUCAGGACUGGUAGAUAUCUGUGAUCUGGGGAUUGAAACUCGGCCACACGUGGGAUACGGAACUCCAGAAUUCAUUCAGCACAUGGAAUCGGUACUCUGUGAUGAAGAGAAAUUUUUGUAGCUCUAAAAAGCUGUUUCUGAUGAGUCGUAAACCUGCUUGUAUAUUCUAACACAAUUGCUAGUGGCGAAAACUAAGCUGACGGUAAAGAUGGUGGGUGGGGACAGUUUAAAAGUGCCCCCAAUCCUAAAUACUUCACAAGUUUCACCUUGGUCUUCAAAACCACCCUGUGUGGGAGGGGCUCUCGGUGUCCCAUGUCACAGACAAGGACCCACACAAAAUGCUAACUGCACUCCAGGAUCAGAGUCAGUAUAAGUAGCGGAUGAGGAACCCUCUCCAGGCACCUGGGCCUUCCUUGACCUCUGGUUAUGCUGAUCCCAGGAGGGAGGGCUCAGCUAUCAGAAAGUGUGUACACUGAAUAAAACAUUUCUGACUACUUAGUUUCUUUACUCAUUGCUGGAACGGAGCGCUUGACAAAGGCACCUUAAAGGGGGAAGGAAUUGCUUUGAAUCACGGUUUGAAGAUAGCGUCCAUGGCUGUAGGAGCUGGAGGCAGCCGCUCUCCGGGCGUCUGCAGUCAGGAAUCACAGAGAGAUGGAAGCUAGUGCUCGGCUUGCUUUCUCCUUGUUAUUCAGUCUGGGCCCCAGCCCAUGGGAUGGUUCUGUUCGGUUGGGGUAGAUCUUUCCUGUCAAUGAAUCCUGUCUGGAAAUUUCCUCAUAGCAUGCCCAGAAGUUUGUCUCCUAUGUGAUUUUACAGCUUCCCCCUUUGAUAAUAUUAACUACCACAAGGUUCAUCAGGCAAGUCACCCUGAACACACCGACCUGCCGCAACAUCAAACACAUCUGACCAGCUUCAUAAGAGGCCCCACAUGCCCUUCCAGAUUUUCAGGGGCUUACAGAAGAGAGACUGGGAAGAUGCUGGCUUCAUGACGACACAUGGAAAAGCGUGAUGGUGUGGGGAGAGGGCUGUCACAAGAAAGCAUUUGCUGAUAUAAAUUUAUAAAUUUUCAAAAUGA